rnacentral:lncRNA from 1 species
GUUGGCAAAAGGCCAAACGCCUGGGGCGUUGCUCCAGCGGCACAUGGCACUGCCUCUGUGGGAUUCAGCCGCGAGCCAGCCCACGCACGACAUCCUUGCCGUUGCUGGUCGUGUGUGGUCGUGCAGUGACAAAUAAACCCCUGAAGCCCCUUCUGCCAUGCUCCGUCUGAUAAUGUCGUGCGCAGGCGGCAUUGGCAGUGCUGCAAUGUGCUGCGUGUGGGCAGCAGAACUACUCGCCGGCGCUGGACGCCCUCAAGUGCUGCGCGGACCGCCUGCCUGUCUCCCUGCAGCUGCUGGAAACCUAUGCCACCAAUGACCGGGACACGGCCCUGGCGCUGAUGCGCGGCGAGCUGUGCGUGGCCGCCCUGACGGCGCUGCACCCGCUCAGCAGCGGCGAGGCCUCCUCGACCGCCACACAGCUGCAGGUGGACCGCCUGCUGCCGCUGCGCGUGUGUGCAGAGACCGGCGGCGGUAAAGGCGGCAGCAACGGUCGCAGCGGCAGCGGCAGCGGGGACGGCGAGGGCGACGGCGACGGCGACGGCAGCGGGGACGGAAGCGGGGACGGCGAGGGCGAGGGCGACGGCGGCAGCACAUCUGGGCCCCGUGUUGGACCCGGGGUCACGGCCGUGCUGGAGAUCCAGCAGAUCAAGUCCAGCAGCGCAGGUACGUGGGUGUUGCGAGUGCACUUGAAGACAUGGACCGGGCAUGCAUGGGCGGGGCGACCGUAUAUGUGGAAAGCGCACGUCCGCCCCACAGCUGGAGCGUUCCCUGGAGCGUUCCCUUGUUAACAUGCUCCCUGGCCCGGUACAACACAGGUCUUCCGACGGCGCGGGCGCAAGUGGCCCGGUGCGGCCGCAUCUUUGCGUGCGUGUAUAGCGUCCUACGGGAGCGGCUGUCGGAGGCGUUGGCCAACGCCGAGGUGCAGCUGCCGCCGGAGCUGCGGCUGCAGGCCACGAUCGCGCUCGGCCAGGACGGCGAGCCCGGAGCCAGCGAGGAGCAGCGCCCGCCGCAGCUGGAGCUGUCCACCGCCGACGGCGGCCGGACCCUGAUGCAGAUGCAGUACUUGGUCCUGGCGGCGGAGACGCUGGUGCCCUGGGUGCCGAGCCGGCAGCAGUGAGCGGGCGGGCCUCGGCCUCGGCAGUGGAUGGCUGGGGGGCACGGGACGACCAGGCAGCGGCGGUGGCACUCGGCACGCCUGCUGCAACCGUGUCACGCAGCAUACCUAGCAAUCAAGCGGCCAGCCGUUGAUGCUCACGCUGCCGCUAGCUGGACUGCGGCGCGCUGUGGCGGCGGCAGCAGCGCCGACCGGGCAGUGGGCGCUGCCCACAGCUUCUUUGGGGUGUACGGCAGCGCUGGCGGCGUGGUCCACGGUCGUGGGCGGUCGUUGGGACCGCAGACACAGCUGGCGCUGUGAUGUAGCGAUGUACACGAGGCGAGGGCCUCUGAGACCAAUCGCUGUGUUGCUUCCCCCGACAGUGCCAUGGCACGGCAGGGGCUUGAGGGUGGAGGGUAAGUGUGUGAGGAGAGCGAGGGAGUCCUUUUAUGUGCGGCACGUCUUGAAGGUGUUUGCUAGUGUAGCGGCUGGUGCGAGGGUAAGGCACGUUCGUGUUAGAUACACCGUUGACUCCAAUGUGUCUGACCCUUACUGGCGGGCGUUGUGCCACCAGGGAACCCGGGGCACCACCACAAAGGCCCCGGGAGUGCCGCCAGGAACGCAUACAUCUGUUGUUCUGGCUCAAUUUGCAAAGACAGAAUGCAGGAUUGACCUUUUAAAUGCCUGGUUUUUACUAUGGCGCUGUGUUUGUAAUGCAGUGAGGGGGUGGUGGGGUGGUCAUACUAUCUGCGUGCCCACGUUUUUGCACUGCCGGGGCUGGGUAGGGCCUGCUGGUUGCUGCGCAUGAUGCAAUGGAUGGCGGUGGAGCGCGGCGGCGGCGGCGGCGCACGGCCUGUGCCCAGCAGCGGCGGCGUGCAUGUGCGCAGCAGAGCCGGCAGGCAUGGCCACGUGGAGGAGGAGAGCGGUGCGCUGCCUGAGCAGCGGCGCCGUCGCGCAGGUUCAGAAGUGCUGGUGUCUGGUCUUUGUGGCGAGCAUAGCGUAGCGAUUUACUGCUAGGUGGUUUGUUGCGGGCUGAGCUUGUACUUGACAGCGGGGGGCGGCUCGACACAUGGCGGGUGGUGCCUGUACGAACCGACCCCGGCUUUGUCCGGGGGAUGAGGUAGUUUCGAAACCUUCGGCCUCGGACAUUGCACCAACGUGGCGUGGCCGCACAGCCCAAUUUUCCCCUGGAGACCUGCCUUGUCCGCACCCGUGGUUGUUGGCUUCCAGGAGUGGCAUGACUCCUUGGCGGGUCUACCAAGUGGAGUAGCUGCAAAGACAGCUUGUGACGGCGUUCUGCCUUUGAGAGAAGUCAGUGUUGUGCUUGAGGGGGCGAUCACUCGCAUUGCAUAGCUGAGCCGUGCUGGGCAGGCGGGCGAGGGGGAGGGGGAGGGGGAGGGGCGGUGGUGGACUGGAGGUAGGACUGGAGGUACGGGAGGAGGUAGGGCAGGCGGUAGCGGCGGUAGGGGAGGCAGGAGCGCUGGGUGGUGGAGCGCUGGCACUGGCGCAGGCGGGGGCUGUUGAGGGUCAGACCCAGGGGUGCAGGCGGCGGCAUUUUGAUUUGCGUGUCGGCACGGCGUGUUCACUUGAAUGCAGUCAGGUGGAGGCAAGGCUUGACGUGUAUUGAGUGAUUCGGUUAUGCGGACAGUCACGCGGAAACGCGGGUGUAGCGCCGAGCUGGGGGACACGAGGCGCCGAGCCGGGGGUGCGGGGCGCCAGUCCAGAGCGUGGGGGCCAUCGUCGCGAGGCCCAGGCAUCGCGGAUGAGACAGGUAAGGCCAGCACGCCAAAUAUUCUGGUGGAGCGCCGAGCGCGGACACUACAUUGCUUAAUUACCCGCAUUGCUGCGUCGCAAACGCUCUUUCAGUCAGUGCCAACGAUACUGCCCCGCGCGGUUGCGCGUUCUUACCUGCUUUCCUGCGCGAACGAAACGGCAGCCCUUAGGAUUCCUAUUAAAUGUGAUUCAUAUCACCACUCGCACAUUUUACCACAGGCCUACAGCUCGUCGCUGGCUGGCCUAUGUUGCUGACGCGGCUGAGUCGACCCGCGGCAGCAGGUACACUGCUUCUGCGUGGUUGCAAUAAUUUAGGACUGCGCUAGAGUGCAAGCGCGGCGCUCACGAAGCUGACCAGCCGAGGCCCGUCGCAUGCAGGCACGCCGGGCAUGCGCGCAACUCCGCAUGUGCGGCAUGGCGCCUGCCUUGGUUCACACUGGCGUGGAUGUGGAACGGCGAGCCACGGGCGCGCCUGGCGUGUCGCGGCCGCGUGCCACCUGCCCGAGGGGAGCGCGGGAGCCACCCCGGGAGUCGGGUGAGUCGGCGCCUGUUGCAGCGCCAACUGCUGUAACAUAGUUUGCGAAUGCAUGCUCGCAAGUAACAGCACCGAAUGCACCCUGCACGCAGGUCGCCGCCUGCAGCUGCAGCAGGGCAGGUGGGAAGACCCAGGGGACAAACUUUGCAACGCUUCUCAAGAAGGGCGUGUAGUGCGCGCAGGGGUUUACUAGUAUUGCGUUAAAGCUUUCAACCUGGUGAACGCUUUUCUUCAUUGUACUCAAUACCCUCGCUCUGCUGACAGGUGAGGCAGCAUACUGAUGCCCUGCGCCCCGCCCACCAACUCGAGGUCACGGCCUACCUCCAAUACCAGCCAGGCCGCUAGCUUGCCCGCCGCUACCUCGUGCACGUGUGGCGGCAGCCCGGGAGGCAGCACGCACUUCGCCACACUGGCCGCAUCCUUCAGGACCACGCUUCCGCGGGCGCCGUUGUUGGAGGCCGUCUCCUGCUUCUGCUGCUCGCGAUCACGCAGCGCCCUGCCCACGACGGCCUUCACUAGUAUUGCGGUUGUGUCUUCAAUCCGGCGAAGGCUUGUCAUAACAGGGUUCAGCUUCCGAUCGAGCAUCGCCGCGAAAGCUUUAGCGCAAUACUAGUGGAGGCCGUCGCGGGCAGGGCGCUGCGUGAUCACGAGCAGCAGAAGCAGGAGGCGGCCUCCAACAACGGCGCCCGCGGAAGCGUGGUCCUGAAGGAUGCGGCCAGUGUGGUGAAGUGCGUGCUGCCUCCCGGGCUGCCGCCACACGUGCACGAGGUGGCGGCGGGCAAGCUGGCGGCCUGGAUGGUAGAGGAGGUAGGCCGUGACCUUGAGUUGGUGGGCGGGGCGCAGGGCAUCAGUAUGCUGCCUCACCUGUCAGCAGAGCGAGGGUAUUGGCGUGCAUGUGAUGCAUGCCCCAGGGGCAUGUAUGGAUGCCCGAUGGGUGCCUAGACAGCAGGCACAGUCCGUGCUGGCGGCCGUCUCUGCCCUACCGCGCCAUGUAACAGCGCCGCACCCGCCAUGCAGGACCGGGGCCUACGUGCUAUCCUGGAGUCGGAGCUGCGUGCGGUCCCUUCCAGGCUCACCAAUAAAGCAAACGCGCAGUGGAAGGCGGCAGCGGCGAGUGCCGCCCAGGUGUGCGACUGGGGCGGGACGGGAUGAGUAGGGGGUUGCUUGCGGGCUGGGCUUGUGCUCCGUGCUGCACGCUGCUGUGUGCUGUGGUUCGAGCAUGUGUGCAUGGAUUCAUCAAAAGCAGUUGGCAAAAGGCCAAACACCCAGGGCAUUGCGCCAGCGGCUUAUGGCACUGCCUUUGUAAGUUUCAGCCGCGAGCCAGCCCACGCACGACAUCCUUGCCGUUGCUGGUCGUGCGUGGUCGUGCAGUGGCAAGUAAAACCCCGAAGCCCCUCCUGCCAUGCUCCGUCUGAUGAUGUCGUGUGCAGGCGGCAUUGGCAGUGCUGCAAGGUGCUGCGUGUGGGCAGCAGAACUACUCGCCGGCGCUGGACGCCCUCAAGUGCUGCGCGGACCGCCUGCCUGUCUCCCUGCAGCUGCUGGACACCUAUGCCACCAGUGACCGGGACACGGCCCUGGCGCUGAUGCGCGGCGAGCUGUGCGUGGCCGCCCUGACGGCGCUGCACCCGCUCAGCAGCGGCGAGGCCUCCUCGACCGCCACACAGCUGCAGGUGGACCGCCUGCUGCCGCUG